rnacentral:rRNA from 1 species
UGCCUACGGGGGGCAGCAGUGAGGAAUAUUGGUCAAUGGGCGGGAGCCUGAACCAGCCAAGUCGCGUGAGGGAAGACGGUCCUAUGGAUUGUAAACCUCUUUAGGCGGGGAGCAAUGCCGGGCACGCGUGCCCGGAGGGAGAGUACCCGCAGAAUAAGCAUCGGCUAACUCCGUGCAGCAGCCGCGGUAAUACGGAGGAUGCGAGCGUUAUCCGGAUUUAUUGGGUUUAAAGGGAACGCAGGCGGUCUUUUAAGUCUGAUGUGAAAGCCUUCGGCUUAACCGGGGUAGUGCAUUGGAAACUGGGG